UACGUAGGGUGCGAGCGUUGUCCGGAAUUAUUGGGCGUAAAGAGCGCGUAGGCGGCCAGAUAAGUCCGGUGUGAAAGUCAAAGGCUCAACCUUUGAAUGCCGCUGGAAACUGUCUGACUAGAGUCCGGUAGGGGAGCGUGGAAUUCCUGGUGUAGCGGUGAAAUGCGCAGAUAUCAGGAGGAACACCAGCGGGCGGAAGGCGGCGCUCUGGGCCGGAACUGGACGCUGGAGGAGCGAAAGCGUGGGGAGCAAACAGG
rnacentral:rRNA from 1 species